rnacentral:misc_RNA from 1 species
GAAAUGCGAUAAGUAAUGUGAAUUGCAGAAUUCAGUGAAUCAUCGAAUCUUUGAACGCACAUUGCGCCCGCCAGCAUUCUGGCGGGCAUGCCUGUUCGAGCGUCAUUUCAACCCUCAGGCCCGGCCUGGUGUUGGGGACCUGCCACGCGCAGCCCCCGAAAGAGAGCGGCGGUCCCGUUCCCGGCUCCGAGCGUAGUAACAUACUGAGCUCUGGGCGCCGGGCGGGCAACCUGCCGGAAAACACCCCUUUUUCUCAAGGUUGACCUCGGAUCAGGUAGGAAUACCCGCUGAACUUAA